GCAGAGAAUUCCAUGCCACAUCCAUGUGGGUUUCUACUGCAGUCACUGCCCAGAAUGAAACCUGGCUAUUAGUGGUGCUGCUGCCUUUUCUACUGAGCCACUUUGAUAUUGUAGUGGCAGAAGGACCAUGACUGCUCCAUAGAGACGUCUGCUUCAUGCCUAACCCGCAACCCUUUUCUGUUCCUUCCUUUCUCUUUCCUUUCGUCCGUAAUCUCUUUGUCUUUUCCUCACCACCACUCCUCCUCCUCCCCCCUUGCUCUUUUAUGACCUUCCCGUGAACAGUCGUGGGCGUCCUUUCACAGUAACCAACCGAAUGGACUCAAUAAACGUGGAAACACGGCUGAUCUUUGACAACCAGUCUGUGGUUCCAAACGCGACCCUGACAGAAAGAACCCUUGAGCAGGCCAUUAAUGAUUCAAUUGUUACCGCAGACAUCUCUCCAUCCAGCAUUGAUGCAGGCACAACUACUACAACUACACCUACAACUACUACACCUACAGCCACAACAAGCAGUGCCAUGGCAACAAACAAACCCCAGGAAGUCAUCACUCUUCUGUUUCCUCUUUUUCUGGUCAUUUAUUUCUUGUCAAAAGAUAUGAGGCUUCCUCUGUUUUAACCAGAUAAAUAAAUAAGCCUUCAUGAUUUGGACAGUUGAUGCUACUCUAUGACGGAUAAUGUUUUAACAGAUUUCUAAAAAAAAGUGCCUCUUAAGGCAUAUCUUUCACUGAGUGCCUCAUUGAGCCAUUGAUCAGGGUUCUUUUUACAUAUAUAUCAUAUUUAUUAUAUAGAUAUUUCUUAUAAAGUUCUUUAUAUAUAUAUGUGUGUGUAUGUGUGUGUCUAUGUGUGUGUGUGUAAAUAUAUAUUUUGCGCUUUGAGUACAACAAAGAGGCUUUGAAAAUUGGAAAUGAAGUCCCAAAUGGUUUGAAUGAAGCUAAAGUCCAAAUGGUUUGAAUGAAGAGCUAAAGUCCAAAUGGUUUGAAUGAAGAACUGCUCCUUUUUUGUAAGGUCUUUCUCCUUAUCUCAUUAUACAAGUCCAAACUGUCCUUUUUUCAUAGAUGUUUACAUAUCUUUGGACUAAUUCUAAAAACGUGAAUGCUGUAAUAUGUGAUUGUUCUAUAUUAUAUAUUUCUAAAUAAAUAGUAUUAUGAUACA